rnacentral:tRNA from 1 species
GGAGAGAUGGCUGAGCGGUCUAAAGCGCUUGCCUGCUAAGCAAGAGCUCCUUUAAAGGGGGCGCGAGGGUUCGAAUCCCUCUCUCUCCA